AAUACAGUCGAACCCCUAUAAGCGGACACCUCUCUUAAGCGGACACCUCUUUUAAGCGGACACAUAUCUCAGGUCCCAUUUGGUUUCUUUAAUAAAAAACUAUUAUCAUAACCCCUAUUAAGCGGACACCCCUCUUUAACGGACGCGGACACCUUUCUGGAGGUCCCAAUGGGCAAAUCAACCUCUCUUAAGCGGACAGAUGACAGAUUGUCUGAUAAAAUGUAUUCAAUAUUCAACAGUAAAUAAGAAUUGAGAUCAAUUUACAUGGCACAUUGACAACUUGGCGCGAAGACAUCAGAGCCAAGAUUAUUGAGG